UACGGGGGGAGCAAGCGUUGUUCGGAUUUACUGGGCGUAAAGGGCGCGUAGGCGGCCAACUAAGUCGGAUGUGAAAUCCCCAGGCUUAACCUGGGAACUGCAUCCGAUACUGGAUGGCUUGAAUCCGGGAGAGGGAUGCAGAAUUCCAGGUGUAGCGGUGAAAUGCGUAGAUAUCUGGAGGGAUACCGGUGGCGGAGGCGGCAUCCUGGACCGGCAUUGACGCUGAGGAGCGAAAGCUAGGGGAGCAAACGGG
rnacentral:rRNA from 1 species